GCUCGGAUAGUUCAGUCGGUAGAGAAUCAGACUUUAAAGCUCAAGGUUAGGGGUUCAAGUCCCUAAGCGGGCA
rnacentral:tRNA from 1 species